rnacentral:rRNA from 1 species
UACAGAGGUCUCAAGCGUUGUUCGGAUUCAUUGGGCGUAAAGGGUGCGUAGGCGGCGCGGUAAGUCGGGUGUGAAAUCUCGGAGCUUAACUUCGAAACUGCAUUCGAUACUGCCGUGCUUGAGGACUGGAGAGGAGACUGGAAUUUACGGUGUAGCGGUGAAAUGCGUAGAUAUGACAUAGAACACCAAUUGCGAAGGCAGCUUACUAGACAGUUAUUGACGCUGAGGCACGAAAGCGUGGGGAUCAAACAGG